GACACACCCAGGAGAAGGAAAUGCGAACACAGAGAUGGACAGAGUCUGGAGGGCUGCCACGUCAGGCCAAGCAAUGCCAGGCCGUCAUCAGAAGCUGGAGAGGCAAGAAACAGAUCCUCCCCUAGAGCAUGCAAAGGGAGCGUGGCCCUGCUGACCGCUUGAUUUCAGCUCACCGAAAACUUAUUUCGGACUUCUGGUCUGCAGAACUGUGAGAGAAAUACACUCUUGUGAGAAAAUAUUAGAAUUGUCAUCUGGUUCUUCCAAUGAUGAUCGAUGCAUAUCCUAUGAAAAUGUUACCAACAUUGAAGAUGUUGAUUUUUCCUAUUAACAAUAAGAAAAGAAAAACUGAAGCAUGAGAGAUGAGCAUUGCUGUCGAGUCCCCACAGCUGCCACAGAAACGCAUGUGCUGCAUUCCAUCAUCCCUUGCAUUCAAAAUGCUACUGAUGCAUAGCACCUAAUCAAGUCCCCAGGCCGCAGCUCCACUCCUGAGGAAGCUACGUCACCUCCAUCGCCACUGUAUUGUCUGCUAUGUUGUUCAGUGCUGGCUUUUCUGAUUCAUGAUUUUCCCUGUUGAAAUAAAGUUCAAUUCAAUUAGUUA